GCUUACGGCCAUACCAACCUGGCUAUGCCCGAUCUCGUCUGAUCUCGGAAGCUAAGCAGGUUUGGCCCUGGUUAGUACUUGGAUGGGAGACCGCCUGGGAAUACCAGGUGCUGUAAGCU
ensembl:rRNA 5S_rRNA 5S ribosomal RNA